UUUAUCAGAGAGUUUGAUCCUGGCUCAGGAUGAACGCUGGCGGCGUGCUUAACACAUGCAAGUCGAACGGGAAUUACUUUAUUGAAACUUCGGUCGAUUUAAUUUAAUUCUAGUGGCGGACGGGUGAGUAACGCGUGGGUAACCUGCCUUGUACAGGGGGAUAACAGUCAGAAAUGACUGCUAAUACCGCAUAAGCGCACAGGACCGCAUGGUCCGGUGUGAAAAACUCCGGUGGUAUAAGAUGGACCCGCGUUGGAUUAGCUAGUUGGU
rnacentral:rRNA from 1 species